rnacentral:rRNA from 1 species
UACGGGGGGGGCAAGCGUUGUUCGGAAUUACUGGGCGGAAAGGGCUCGUAGGCGGCCAACUAAGUCAUACGUGAAAUCCCUCGGCUUAACCGGGGAACUGCGUCUGAUACUGGAUGGCUUGAGUUCGGGAGAGGGAUGCGGAAUUCCAGGUGUAGCGGUGAAAUGCGUAGAUAUCAGGAGGAACACCAAUUGCGAAGGCAGCUCGCUGGGACGUUACUGACGCUGAGACGCGAAAGCGUGGGGAGCAAACAGG